rnacentral:rRNA from 1 species
AUUGAACGCUGGCGGCAUGUCUUACACAUGCAAGUCGAACGGCAGCGCGGGAGCAAUCCUGGCGGCGAGUGUCGAACGGGUGAGUAGUGCAUCGGAACGUGCCCAGUUGUGGGGGAUAGCCCGGCGAAAGCCGGAUUAAUACCGCAUGAGACCUGAGGGUGAAAGCGGGGGAUCGAAAGACCUCGCGCGACUGGAGCGGCCGAUGUCAGAUUAGGUAGUUGGUGGGGUAAGGGCCUACCAAGCCUGCGAUCUGUAGCUGGUCUGAGAGGACGACCAGCCACACUGGGACUGAGACACGGCCCAGACUCCUACGGGAGGCAGCAGUGGGGAAUUUUGGACAAUGGGCGCAAGCCUGAUCCAGCCAUGCCGCGUGCGGGAAGAAGGCCUUCGGGUUGUAAACCGCUUUUGUCGGGGAAGAAACGGCCUGGGCUAAUACCUUGGGCUAAUGACGGUACCCGAAGAAUAAGCACCGGCUAACUACGUGCCAGCAGCCGCCGUAA